UACGGGGGGAGCAAGCGUUGUUCGGAUUUACUGGGCGUAAAGGGCGCGUAGGCGGCGUGACAAGUCACUUGUGAAAUCUCCGGGCUUAACUCGGAGCGGUCAAGUGAUACUGUCGUGCUAGAGUGCGGAAGGGGCUACUGGAAUACUCGGUGUAGCGGUGAAAUGCGUAGAUAUUGGGAGGAACACCAGUGGCGAAGGCGGCUACCUGGACCGGUUCUGACGCUGAGGCGCGAAAGCGUGGGUAGCAAACAGG
rnacentral:rRNA from 1 species